rnacentral:rRNA from 1 species
GAUGAACGCUGGCGGCGUGCCUAAUACAUGCAAGUCGAGCGAACAGAUGAGGAGCUUGCUCCUCUGACGUUAGCGGCGGACGGGUGAGUAACACGUGGAUAACCUACCUAUAAGACUGGGAUAACUUCGGGAAACCGGAGCUAAUACCGGAUAAUAUAUUGAACCGCAUGGUUCAAUAGUGAAAGACGGUUUUGCUGUCACUUAUAGAUGGAUCCGCGCCGGAUUAGCUAGUUGGUAAGGUAACGGCUUACCAAGGCAACGAUGCGUAGCCGACCUGAGAGGGUGAUCGGCCACACUGGAACUGAGACACGGUCCAGACUCCUACGGGAGGCAGCAAUAGGGAAUCUUCCGCAAUGGGCGAAAGCCUGACGGAGCAACGCCGCGUGAGUGAUGAAGGUCUUCGGAUCGUAAAACUCUGUUAUUAGGGAAGAACAAAUGUGUAAGUAACUAUGCACGUCUUGACGGUACCUAAUCAGAAAGCCACGGCUAACUACGUG